AUUGAACGCUGGCGGCAGGCCUAACACAUGCAAGUCGAGCGGAUGAAGGGAGCUUGCUCCUGGAUUCAGCGGCGGACGGGUGAGUAAUGCCUAGGAAUCUGCCUGGUAGUGGGGGAUAACGUCCGGAAACGGGCGCUAAUACCGCAUACGUCCUGAGGGAGAAAGUGGGGGAUCUUCGGACCACACGCUAUCAGAUGAGCCUAGGUCGGAUUAGCUAGUUGGUGGGGUAAAGGCCUACCAAGGCGACGAUCCGUAACUGGUCUGAGAGGAUGAUCAGUCACACUGGAACUGAGACACGGUCCAGACUCCUACGGGAGGCAGCAGUGGGGAAUAUUGGACAAUGGGCGAAAGCCUGAUCCAGCCAUGCCGCGUGUGUGAAGAAGGUCUUCGGAUUGUAAAGCACUUUAAGUUGGGAGGAAGGGCAGUAAGUUAAUACCUUGCUGUUUUGACGCUACCAACAGAAUAAGCACCGGCUAACUUCGUG
rnacentral:rRNA from 1 species